UACGGAGGGUGCAAGCGUUAAUCGGAAUUACUGGGCGUAAAGGGCUCGUAGGCGGCCAACUAAGUCGGAUGUGAAAUCCCCGGGCUCAACCUGGGAACUGCAUUUGUGACUGCACGGCUGGAGUGCGGCAGAGGGGGAUGGAAUUCCGCGUGUAGCAGUGAAAUGCGUAGAUAUGCGGAGGAAUACCGAUGGCGAAGGCAAUCCCCUGGGCCUGCACUGACGCUCAUGCACGAAAGCGUGGGGAGCGAACGGG
rnacentral:rRNA from 1 species